CCGCGUGGGUGAAGAAGGCCUUCGGGUUGUAAAGCCCUUUUGUUGGGAAAGAAAUCCAGCNGGCUAAUACCNGGUUGGGAUGACGGUACCCAAAGAAUAAGCACCGGCUAACUUCGUGCCAGCAGCCGCGGUAAUACGAAGGGUGCAAGCGUUACUCGGAAUUACUGGGCGUAAAGCGUGCGUAGGUGGUCGUUUAAGUCCGUUGUGAAAGCCCUGGGCUCAACCUGGGAACUGCAGUGGAUACUGGGCGACUAGAGUGUGGUANAGGGUAGCGGAAUUCCUGGUGUAGCAGUGAAAUGCGUANAGAUCAGGAGGAACAUCCAUGGCGAAGGCAGCUACCUGGACCAACACUGACACUGAGGCACGAAAGCGUGGGGAGCAAACAGGAUUANAUACCCUGGUAGUCCACGCCCUAAACGAUGCGAACUGGAUGUUGGGUGCAAUUUGGCACGCAGUAUCNAAGCUAACGCGUUAAGUUCGCCGCCUGGGGAGUACGGUCGCAAGACUGAA
rnacentral:rRNA from 1 species